rnacentral:rRNA from 1 species
UACGAAGGGGGCUAGCGUUGUUCGGAAUCACUGGGCGUAAAGGGCGCGUAGGCGGCCUGAUAAGUCGGGGGUGAAAUCCUGUGGCUUAACCACAGGGCUGCCUCCGAGACUGUCGGGCUCGAGCACAGUAGAGGCAGGUGGAAUUCCCGGUGUAGCGGUGGAAUGCGUAGAGAUCGGGAAGAACAUCGGUGGCGAAGGCGGCCUGCUGGGCUGUUGCUGACGCUGAGGCGCGACAGCGUGGGGAGCAAACAGG